rnacentral:rRNA from 1 species
GACGAACGCUGGCGGCGUGCUUAACACAUGCAAGUCGAACGAUGAACCCGGAGCUUGCUCUGGGGGAUUAGUGGCGAACGGGUGAGUAACACGUGAGUAACCUGCCCUGGACUCUGGGAUAAGCGUUGGAAACGACGUCUAAUACCGGAUAGGACCUUGGAUCGCAUGAUCUGGGGUGGAAAGUUUUUUCGGUCUGGGAUGGACUCGCGGCCUAUCAGCUUGUUGGUGAGGUAAUGGCUCACCAAGGCGUCGACGGGUAGCCGGCCUGAGAGGGUGACCGGCCACACUGGGACUGAGACACGGCCCAGACUCCUACAGGAGGCAGCAGUGGGGAAUAUUGCACAAUGGGCGAAAGCCUGAUGCAGCAACGCCGCGUGCGGGAUGACGGCCUUCGGGUUGUAAACCGCUUUUAGUAGGGAAGAAGGGCUUCGGCUUGACGGUACCUGCAGAAAAAGGACCGGCUAACUACGUG